rnacentral:rRNA from 1 species
UAGGGAAUCUUCCGCAAUGGGCGAAAGCCUGACGGAGCAACGCCGCGUGAGUGAUGAAGGUCUUCGGAUCGUAAAACUCUGUUAUUAGGGAAGAACAAAUGUGUAAGUAACUAUGCACGUCUUGACGUUACCUAAUCAGAAAGCCACGGCUAACUACGUGCCAGCAGCCGCGGUAAUACGUAGGUGGCAAGCGUUAUCCGGAAUUAUUGGGCGUAAAGCGCGCGUAGGCGGUUUUUUAAGUCUGAUGUGAAAGCCCACGGCUCAACCGUAGAGGGUCAUUGGAAACUGGAAAACUUGAGUGCAGAAGAGGAAAGUGGAAUUCCAUGUGUAGCGGUGAAAUGCGCAGAGAUAUGGGGGAACACCAGUGGCGAAGGCGACUUUCUGGUCUGUAACUGACGCUGAUGUGCGAAAGCGUGGGGAUCAAACAGG